rnacentral:rRNA from 1 species
UGAGGAAUAUUGGUCAAUGGGCGAGAGCCUGAACCAGCCAAGUAGCGUGCAGGACGACGGCCCUAUGGGUUGUAAACUGCUUUUAUAAGGGAAUAAAGUGAGUCUCGUGAGACUUUUUGCAUGUACCUUAUGAAUAAGGACCGGCUAAUUCCGUGCCAGCAGCCGCGGUAAUACGGAAGGUCCGGGCGUUAUCCGGAUUUAUUGGGUUUAAAGGGAGCGUAGGCCGGAGAUUAAGCGUGUUGUGAAAUGUAGACGCUCAACGUCUGCACUGCAGCGCGAACUGGUUUCCUUGAGUACGCACAAAGUGGGCGGAAUUCGUGGUGUAGCGGUGAAAUGCUUAGAUAUCACGAAGAACUCCGAUUGCGAAGGCAGCUCACUGGAGCGCAACUGACGCUGAAGCUCGAAAGUGCGGGUAUCGAACAGGAUUAGAUACCCUGGUAGUCCGCACGGUAAACGAUGGAUGCCCGCUGUUGGUCUGAAUAGGUCAGCGGCCAAGCGAAAGCAUUAAGCAUCCCACCUGGGGAGUACGCCGGCAACGGUGAAACUCAAAGGAAUUGACGGGGGCCCGCACAAGCGGAGGAACAUGUGGUUUAAUUCGAUGAUACGCGAGGAACCUUACCCGGGCUUGAAUUGCAGAGGAAGGAUUUGGAGACAAUGACGCCCUUCGGGGUCUCUGUGAAGGUGCUGCAUGGUUGUCGUCAGCUCGUGCCGUGAGGUGUCGGCUUAAGUGCCAUAACGAGCGCAACCCCUCUCCUUAGUUGCCAUCAGGUCAAGCUGGGCACUCUGGGGACACUGCCACCGUAAGGUGUGAGGAAGGUGGGGAUGACGUCAAAUCAGCACGGCCCUUACGUCCGGGGCUACACACGUGUUACAAUGGCAGGUACAGAGAGACGGUCCCUUGCAAAAUGGAUCAAAUCCUUAAAGCCUGUCUCAGUUCGGACUGGGGUCUGCAACCCGACCCCACGAAGCUGGAUUCGCUAGUAAUCGCGCAUCAGCCAUGGCGCGGUGAAUACGUUCCC